UUAAAUAAACUUAGAGGCAAGGAUUUAUUUGAGUGAUACCUGUUAUUGGAGCAACUGCAUAGCUGGGCUAGAGUUAAACAAGCUUUUCAGUGACAGGCAUUCUUCUCC